AACGCGAAGAACCUUACCAGCUUUUGACAUCCCGGUCGCGGGCACCAGAGAUGGAGCCCUUCAGUUCGGCUGGACCGGAGACAGGUGCUGCAUGGCUGUCGUCAGCUCGUGUCGUGAGAUGUUGGGUUAAGUCCCGCAACGAGCGCAACCCUCGCCCUUAGUUGCCAUCAUUCAGUUGGGCACUCUAAGGGGACUGCCGGUGAUAAGCCGGAGGAAGGUGGGGAUGACGUCAAGUCCUCAUGGCCCUUACGGACUGGGCUACACACGUACUACAAUGGUGGUGACAGUGGGCAGCGAAGGCGCGAGCCGGAGCCAAUCCCCAAAAGCCAUCUCAGUUCAGAUUGUACCCUGCAACUCGGGUGCAUGAAGUUGGAAUCGCUAGUAAUCGCAGAUCAGCACGCUGCGGUGAAUACGUUCCCGGGCCUUGUACACACCGAGACGAC
rnacentral:rRNA from 1 species